CCAAACCAAAACCAGCGCCUCUGUCUUUUUCUCUUCAGCGUCUCUCUCUCUCUGCCUCUCCCUCUUCACUGCUCCUCUCCCCUCCCUCAAGGUUGCCGGCAACCGAAGCACCAAUUAACCUCGUUGUUGGUCACCGUUGCCUGAGAUCCAUCACCCAAGGAAGCUCGAUCGGUGGCUCCUCCCGCGCAGCUCCUCGCAUUGCAAGUUCUGCUUCUGGAAUGUAUAAGAUAUUCCGCCCUGCUGUGGGGAGGCAGUGAGGGAGAUGCCUCUAGCAGAACUAAAAAGCAAGUAUAGAAAAGUUUCAUCACUAGAGAAAGCUCAUAGUGGUUGGGAAGAUGUAUAUGAAGUUUCAUCUAAGCAGGUAAGUAGGAUCUUUCCUGAACUUAUUCAUGCAAGGAAGUCACUUCAUAUGAACUAAUGUAAGGCUUAAUUUUUUGGUCAAAAAAUUUUGUAGCAUUAGUACACAACACUAAUGAAUAAUUAAUGUUAUUAAAUGACCAGGCAAAAUAGCAAUUCGACAGCACAUCCUUCAAUAUAUAAUGAUUAAUUCAGUGUUUUGUCAUGUAAUUCAUUAUGGCUGCUAUGAAUAGCAUAACGCUUCACCAAGACCCAUUGUCAAAAAUCAAUUUCUGUUUCCAUCUUUAAUAUCCAUUCCUUGUUCAUCUUCCGUUCUUUCUCUAGCAUUGUUUGGUAACUGUAAAGCUAAAUUAUAUUGUGUUUUACUUUGAAGCGAGUUUGAGUAUGGUAAGUUUUAUAGCGUUGUGGUGGAAAAUUAUAGCUGGUUUUUCUUGCUGCAAUAAUUUUUCUAAUUCUGGACAAUGGUUUACAAUUUAAAAAGGGAUUUUUAGCCUGCCUCAGCUCUGUGCAUGUUGGCUUUGGGUUUUUUUUUUUUUUU